UUUCAUAUUGAUUAAAAUUUAUUUACCUAAUUUAUAAUUUCAGCUUUUCCAUGCAUUGUAAGAUUUCCAGAAUAUAGAACAUGUAGUUCCUGAUAAAAAAAAAAAACACCAAAAGAUUGCUACGAUAAAACUGUUGAGUAACUAUUUGUAAUACAGAAUGCAUCAAGAUGGUGGUAUGCUACAUAUAUAAUAUUGAUACUAUGACAGAUGAGAAAAGAAACUGAAGACAUAAUGAAAUGCUGAAGUCAGCAAAGGUAUGAUUAUAACUGUUACUGAUGUUUGAAGAAGUGUGUCAUUAUAGCAUCGACAAAUAUUUCAAUCAAACAUGGUUCAGUACUUCAGACUAGUUUUAAUUUAAAAGAAUUAAAUGGCUACUAACAUCCAUUGCUAAUUACAGCUUAUUAACCUCCUGUUAAAAAAAAGAGGGGUGAAAUAUACCAUAGCAACAUUCAAACUCAUAAAUCGAAAAUAAACUGACAACGCCAUGGCUAAAAAUGAAAAAGACAAACAGACAAUUAAUAGUACACUAGAAACAACAUUAAAAACUAAAAACUGAGCCACACAAACCCCACCAAAAACUGGGGGUGAUCUCAGGGUCUCCAGAAGGGUAAGCAGAUCCUGCUCCACAUGUGGCACCCUUCGUGUUGCACAUGUUAUUACAAACUUGGUAUAUAUAGUUUAUUUCGGUAGGUCACAUUCAUGAAAAGGAAAGGGGAUUGCAGGUACGAAGUAAGAAACAUCCGAUAUCAUCUGUGAAAUGGUUUAUCCAUAAUGGUCAACCAACUGUGAUGAUUGGGUAACCUGUAUUAUAUUCAGGGGUGAAUUCAGACAUUUCUAAAGGGGGGGGGGGGGGGUUCAAACUAAAUGUCUCCAUUCAAGUGCAUUGAUCGUCUCAAAAAAAGGGGGGUUCCAACCACCGGAACCCUCCCCUUGGAUCCACCACUGAUAUUUGAGAAAUUGCCACAAUACAUUUUGUUGAUAUCAAAUUAAAGUUGAGAAGCUACGGUAAUCUAUAUAUGUUUAUCUACUUUUCAUUGUCUUCUCUCACCUUGAUUAGUAAAUAAAUAAAAAUCAUGUUGGAAGAAAAAUUUAGUCAUGUGUAUAUGUUUUAGGAACUAAUUGUGGUAUAUUCUUCAGAUUGAAACAUGCAACAGAAAGUUCAAUCAUGACCAUAAAGCAGGCAAGACAUUUCAGUAUGUACAAUCUUGUAAAAAUAUGUCAAACUAUGUCAAAGCAUAUUUUUUGUUUUGUUUUUUCAGAUAAAGAUAUAAGGAGUAGAUAUUUUCCUGAAGAUCUCAUUUAUGUCUCGAAUGUGAAGGGAACAGAAGCUAUCAUGAUGAUUCUUUAAAGAAAAGAUACAGAAACACAAGCUCCUGUAGACACUUAUGAAAAAGAAGAUGUUUUUGCAAUGAAUAUGUGUGAAUGUGAUAAAUUAUGGCAAAUCAACAUGGUCAAUUAACAACAAUAUGUUCUACAAAUUUCUUAGAUUUAUAAGUUUCAUAACAUUUAGUUGAGGCAAACUAAAGUUAGAUAACGGAAAACGA
rnacentral:lncRNA from 1 species